rnacentral:rRNA from 1 species
UACAGAGGUCUCAAGCGUUGUUCGGAUUCAUUGGGCGUAAAGGGUGCGUAGGCGGCGCGGUAAGUCGGGUGUGAAAUUUCGGAGCUUAACUCCGAAACUGCAUUCGAUACUGCCGUGCUUGAGGACUGGAGAGGAGACUGGAAUUUACGGUGUAGCGGUGAAAUGCGUAGAUAUCGUAAGGAAGACCAGUGGCGAAAGGCGGGUCUCUGGGCCGAUAUUGACGCUGAGGAGCGAAAGCGUGGGGAGCGAACAGG